UACGGGGGGGGCAAGCGUUGCUCGGAAUCACUGGGCGUAAAGCGCACGUAGGCGGACUCUUAAGUCAGGGGUGAAAUCCUGGAGCUCAACUCCAGAACUGCCUUUGAUACUGAGGAUUCUUGAGUUCGGGAGAGGUGAGUGGAACUGCGAGUGUAGAGGUGAAAUUCGUAGAUAUUCGCAAGAACACCAGUGGCGAAGGCGGCUCACUGGCCCGAUACUGACGCUGAGGCACGAAAGCGUGGGGAGCAAACAGGG
rnacentral:rRNA from 1 species